UAUUAUUAUUAUUUUGUUUGUUUGUUUUAACGUUUCUAUCAAUCGAAAUAAGGCAUCAUUACUAGAGAACAUCUGAAGCAUCACCGCGUUGUUGCCAGACAGAACAGAGAGCUGCGCGAUCGUGGGAAUGAUUUAUACUUCUGGUACUCGGAAGCAAAAGGGAAAAAGUAUGCGCGCUGUGGCGAGGUCUACAAGGAGAGUCUGGACAAUUGCGGCGCGGCAGACUAUAAGAAAUACGCCCUGCGCGGAGUCCACAAAUCAGCCAUCAAUGAUCCGAGGAAGGAGUCGCAAAACAAUAUUUGCUGCUACCCGAUGCACUACAUGGAGGACAUCAACCUGUCGGAGUGAGGCCUGAUAUCGCCGCUGCAUCAUUAUGCCUGCUUCAGUUCAAUUUCAUCAAAAUACCAGAAUCUCCCGGCAUUUGGCAAGGCUAGCAAAUUUCAAAUGGAUUUGAGACAGAUUUCAUGUAUUUUAAAUGCACAAAACGAACUUGAUACUUGAUUUGGUUAAUUUAAGAUAUAUGAAAUUCGAUGAAGCUGUCAAUCCGAUGCAAGUUGUCAAAUUGUCAUUUAUGGAAUUUAUGAAAUAAACGCAUCAUUAUUUCUGAAUUAUGAUAA